GUAAAAUGACGUACGGUGAUGUCAGGCAAGCAUCCCGACAUCAACGCGAUAUUUUGCUGGGCUGGCGCGCAAUGUAGUUCGAUCCGGGCCCACCAUUAAUUAACAGGCUAGUUAAGGCCCUUAACUCGGCAAUUGAUGCCGAUUUUCAGGGGCCCAUGCGAACUUCGGCUCGGCACACGGGCACAACAGGCAGGCGGGCUUCCAGGAACAAGAUCCACCUGCACCCCUACCACCCAACCUUAUCACCGCCCACUCCCCCCGCAACCAAUGAAUUGAAAGAGAAUGAAGAGCCACAUCAUUCCCAUGUCCACCAUAGAGGAAGACGAGGAAACAGGCACUGUUGUCAAUCACUACAACUGUCAGAGGCACCAGCUUGGAGACCAGCACAACGUGUAACUUGGAGGCUAGGGUGGAACAGGGAACCUUACAGUUCUGUCAAAGGGUCAUGAGGACUCGAAACGUCAACUCUUUCCUUCUCUGCCGAUGCUGCCAGACCUGCUGAGUUUUUCCAGAUGCUGCCAGACCUGUAGAGUUCGUCCAGCAUUUUCUGCUUUUAUUUCAGAUCCCUAACAUCUAUAGCAUUUUGCUUUUGUUUGCAUAAUGAGGCUGAUGAGCUUAAUGAACCAAUUGCUUGAUGCAAUGGAGAACCUGUCUGGAAACUUACGGGUGCGGGGAUGGACACAAUCUGUGGCUUGGAUUAGAGCAUGAACGGGCCAAUUUCAGCCAGCUAUGUGUAGCCCGACAGCAAUGUCUGAUGACUGAGCUUGCAGCUUCCACUGCAAUAUAGUAACCUCCAUGGAAUGACAAAGUGCUGCGAUGGAAGCUUGGGCUACUGUCAGGCUGCUUCUGGGCUCCUCUGCUGAACGGAGUUCAAUUCACAGACACGGGCAGGGAUAUGUUUUUUAUUUUUGAAGGGCUAUUUAAAUAACUUGACAGUUUGACAGUUCCACACACCUUAUCCUCCCUUCGCGAGCAUUUACAUCUACUUUAAAAAUUCUCAACUCCCACACUGCGGAUUAAGGCCCUCGCUCCAGUGAAAAUGGGGUCUGUUUGAAUUCAGCACUGAGCUCCAAUGGCCCUGCUGAGUUUGGGUUUCCCGCAUGUGUGAUUCAAGCCCUGACCCUGUUCCCCUACCGGCGAAAAUAGGAUCUGUCACAAAUGGGGGCAGGAUUCCCGGAUCCAGAUCCUGCCAACUAUUUUUAAAGAUCCCAGAGUCUUCACGACUUUGCAAAAAUCCAGGCCAUGGCAUUCCAUAGCAGGACCUGGGCUGACAAUUGGCAGCUAACAUUUUGCACUACAUAAGUGCCAGGUAAUGACCAUCUUCAAAAAGAGAAAGCUCACCAUCCGCCCUUGUAUGGAAUUGUGGAGCUCCCAUGACCAACAUUUUGGGGCCAACAUUAACCAAAACCUUAACUGAACCAGGGUCAAACAGUAGCCACAAAAACAAGCAGAGGCCAAGUUUUUCUUUACUGUAUUUCAUAGUGAGUCAAAGGAUGUCCCCUUCCUUUUACAUUUAAUCUAGGAACAUAGGCCUUUGGUGCAGGAGUAGGUCAUUCGGCCCCUCAAGCCUGCUCCGCCAUUGAACGUGAUCAUCGCUGAUCUGAUUGUGGUCUUAACUCCACUUUGCUGUCUGCCCCCAUAACUCUUGAUUCCCUG